rnacentral:rRNA from 1 species
AAUGAACGCUGGCGGCGUGGUUAAGACAUGCAAGUCGAACGGGUUUUCCAGUGUAGCAAUACACUGAAAAAUUAGUGGCGAACGGGUGCGUAACACGUGAACAAUCUACCAUCGAGUGUGGAAUAGCUCGCCGAAAGGCGAAUUAAUACCGCAUGUGGUUGUCUCUCGCAUGAGAGACAUACUAAAGUCAGGGACCGCAAGGCCUGACGCUAAAUGAGGAGUUCGCGGCCUAUCAGCUAGUUGGCGAGGUAACGGCUCACCAAGGCUAAGACGGGUAGCUGAUCUGAGAGGAUAAUCAGCCACACUGGAACUGAGACACGGUCCAGACAACUACGGGUGGCAGCAGUUUCGAAUCAUUCACAAUGGGCGAAAGCCUGAUGGUGCGACGCCACGUGAGGGAUGAAGGUCUUCGGAUUGUAAACCUCUGUCACUGGGGAGAAAACGCUUUGAGUUAAUAGUUCAAAGCCUGAUUUAACCCGGAGAGGAAGCAGUGGCUAACUCUGUGCCAGCCGCCGCGGUAAAAC